ACAGUCGUGUUCUCAGUGUCGGUCUCAGUGUCCGAGUCUGCCAGUGCUGCCCCGAUGGCCUUCCAACACCGUGACCCAGCUGCCGCCAGCGUCGCCGCAGCUCGUAAAGGAGCUGAGCCCAGUGGGGCGCCGCCUGGGGCCCGUGGACAAGAGGUUACAGCAGGAGCUGAUGAAAGGAAUUCCUUCCUUCUCUGAAUCAGACAACCUUUGCAAAUGGGUGGGGACCAUCCAUGGAGCAGCUGGCACAGUAUACGUAGACUUGAGGUAUAAACUCUCCCUAGAGUUCCCCAGUGGCUACCCGUACAACGCUCCCAUGGUGAAGUUCUUCACGCCCUGCUACCACCCCAACAUAGACACCCAGGGUAACAUCUGCCUGGACAUCCUAAAGGACAAGUGGUCUGCCCUGUAUGACGUCAGGACCAUCCUGCUCUCCAUCCAGAGCCCGCUGGGAGAACCCAACGUCGACAGCCCUUUGAACACACAUGCUGCAGAGCUCUGGGAAAACCCUACGGUCUUCAAGAAGUACCUACAGGAAAACCAUGCAAAGCAGGUCUCCAGCCAAGAGCCCUGCCCGGGGCGGUCCAGCCUGUCUCCUUGUGUGGCGUCCAAAGGCCAUGCAGCCAUCCCUGCCUAG